GUGUCAGCAGCCGCGGUAAGACGGAGGAUGCAAGCGUUAUCCGGAAUUAUUGGGCGUAAAGCGUCCGCAGGUGGUGAAUCAAGUCUGCGGUCAAAGGCAGGAGCUCAACUCCUGUAAGGCCGUGGAAACUGAAGCACUAGAGGGUGGUAGGGGUAGAGGGAAUUCCCAGUGUAGCGGUGAAAUGCGUAGAGAUUGGGAGGAACACCGGUGGCGAAAGCGCUCUACUGGACCACACCUAACACUCAGAGGACGAAAGCUAGGGGAGCGAAAGGGAUUAGAUACCCCUGUAGUCCUAGCCGUAAACGAUGGAUACUAGGCGUUGAGAGUAUCGACCCUCUCAGUGCCGAAGCUAACGCGUUAAGUAUCCCGCCUGGGGAGUACGCACGCAAGUGUGGAACUUAAAGGAAUUGACGGGG
rnacentral:rRNA from 1 species